GAGCAAUUUGGUAAAAUAAAUUUGUCGGUUUCUUAUACGGUUGCGACAUAUAAGUGAUAACAAGAAAAAACAGUGUUCGGGAGAUAACUCUUACAUGGAAAAGAUUUUUGUUACGCUGUGUCAGUUCCAAAAGCGUAUUAACUCUUAGAUAUCAUAUACAAAAUAUCUAAGUGACAACUUGUGAAACAAAAAGUUAGCGAAGGAAAGAAAUUAGCGGAAGAAAAAAAUAAAAUAAUCAGAAGAAACCAAUAGGUCUUUCCACGGAAAAGUGGAAAGACCUAAUUAAAAACCAAUUGUUCAGAAAACCAUUGAUGGUCUUUCCACCAGUAAGGAUUUUUUUUAUAUAAAAAUAUUAAAAAUUUGGUUUUAAAUGUCAAUUGAACCGUCAAAUGACAGCUAAUUGAACGUUGAUUCCAAAAAUGUAUGGUUCUAUGGAAAAAGAUAUAGAUAAGGGAGAUAAUUGUUAACUUCCGGUCAAACGACGUAAUUCCGGUAUAGUUUGAUAGUUUAUUGACAUUGAUUCCAAAAAUAUAUGGUCUAAUACUUUUACAUUUAAUUUAGAACAAAAAAUAGCUACUUCCGGUAACAAAAGGUCACUUCCGGUUGGCUUUUACAAGUCACAUUGCUUGCAACCUAUGCAAAAGUCCCAUGUCUUAUCAUGAUAUACAUAUGAGGUAAAAGCAAAGGUCAAAAUCUAGAACGUAAUUUUGCCAGAUGACCUUGAGCACAAUUUCAAGGUCAUCAACCAAGGACCUCAAAUCAAAAGACUUUAGUCCUCUACUUUAUAUUGUUUAUGAGUUAUAUUACCAUACAUAUGAUAUUAGAUAUAAAAAGGGGGAAAACUCACGUCAAAUGUUACGUACCCUUUCGACUAAAAUUUAUGUGUAUACAUGUUAACUAACAAUUUUAUGAAAAGAUUUUGUCAAUAUCUUAUAUGAUUUUUGAAAAUAAGAGAUAACAAGCCAAAAUCAAAAUUUGAUCAUGACCUUGACCUUUGACCUUGACCUCAUUUUCAAUUUUUUGGACCAAGGACCUCAAAACAAAAGACCUAGGCCUCUAACACUUAUGGUUUUCCAGUUAAAAAUGCAAUAUCACUUAUUAUCAAAUAUAAAAGGGGAAAUAACUCUCAUAUGGAGUCUCCGAAGCUUCGGUCAAAAUAAAUCAAAUCCUGAGGAUAUAACGAGCAAUUUGGUAAAAUAAAUUUGUCGGUUUCUUAUACGGUUGCGAAUAUUAAGAUCACAAGAAAAACAGUGUUCGGGGAGAUAACUCUUACAUUGAAAAGAUUUUGGUUACGCGGUGUCAGUUUCAAAAGCGUAUUAAUUGCUCGAUAUCAUAUACCAUAUAUCUAAGCGACAUCUUGCGAAACAAAAAAAUUGCGAAGAACAAAAGUUGGCGGAAGAAAAAAACAAUAAUAAUCAGAAGAAACCAAUAGGUCUUUCCACGGAAAAGUGGAAAGACCUAAUAAUAAUCAGAAGAAAACCAAUAGGUCUUUCCACGGAAAAGUGGAAAGACCUAAUAAUAAUAAAUAUAAAUCAAUUGCUUUUAAAAAGCAAUUGUGAACGGUCUUUCACCCCUUAAAAAGUGUUUGAUUGAUGUGUGUGUGUGUGUGUGUGUGUGUGUGUGUGUGUUUGUUUGUUUGUUUGUUUGUUUGUUUGUGUAAGGGGUCUAUAGUAUUGGGUUACCGGAGAAGUUUCAUGUUUAGUUUGGAAAGUGUUUCUUUUAUUUUAGGUACAGCGCGCGCGACAUCACGUGACACGGGUUUAUAAUAACGAAAACUUAGUCUUUUUAUUUCUUUUUAGGUGGGGACGUUGAACAGACAACAUGUAUAGAGACGGAAUGCACACAAUGUAAUUUCUUUGUCAUUGUAGGAAUUGACAUUUUGAUCACAGGUCACGGGCAGUGCAUGUUUUGGUUUUAAUCGAUCCGGUGUAACUUUAAAACACAUUUAAUGAUUAUUUUCUGAUAAUGUACAUUUUUCAGCACCUGUGUGUAACACAGAUUAGUAUUUCAAUCUCGGAGCGGACAUUUUAUUGUAGGUUUUUACUGAGAUUAACGGACCUAGCAAGCGAUUUUUACGGUAUUGCCAUUUCUGUUCUCUAGGUAAAGUCUUGAGAGAUAUCUGCACCAAGUUUUUUUAUGAACCUUUAUUACAUGUAUGCCCUGCUGACUGCAAAUUUUGAGGUCGAUUGGACUUGUAGUUUCAGAGUACAUGUGGAUUCUUUUUCAGAAGAGACGUAAGAACAAUAUUAAAUUUCAAUUUUUCUUGAAUAAUUGAGAGUUUGUUCCUUCACUAUACUGUCAUAAAUAAACAGUCAUACAUAUUGAUUGAUUGAUUGAUUAGUUGGUUGGUUGAUUGAUUGAUUGAUUGAUUGAUUGAUUGGUUGGUUGGUUGGUUGGUUGGUUAAACACGUUGGAUAGGGUCAAUUGAAACAGCGAAAAAGAAACAGAAGACCCUAUAUUAAACACAUGAAACGGAAACAUGAUUGAUUGAUUGAUCGAUCAUGAUCAUGAUCAUGAUUGAUUGAUUGAUUGAUUGAUUGAUUGGUUGGUUGGUUGGUUGGUUAAACACGUUGGAUAGGGUCAAUUGAAACAGCGAAAAAGAAGCAAAGAAGAUCUUGAACCCUAUAUUAAACACAUGAAACGGAAACAUGAUUGAUUGAUCAUGAUCAUGAUCAUGAUUGAUUGAUUGAUUGAUUGAUUGAUUGAUUGAUUGAUUGGUUAGUUGUUUGGUUGGUUGGUUGGUUGGUUGGUUGGUUGGUUGGCAGGCUUUAUAUAAACCAUCAAUGGGGAUUAUGUCCCUUACACAAUGGUAAAACCAAUGCAGUCGAAAUGUAACAAAGUUGCCCCCUGAGGUACCAAACAUUUUUCACUAUGAAAAUUUUCUGUAUCUAUAACCAUUCAAAAGUUAUAGGGAAAUCAAAGACCAAUAAAAAUCUAAAAUACGACCUUGACCUUUGACCUUGACCUAAUUUUCGGUUUUUUGGACCAAGGAUCUCAAAUCAAAAGACCCGAGGUCUCUAUCACUUAUGGUUUUCCAGUUUAAAAUACAUUUCAAAAUUUCAAAAACAAAAGGGGAAAUUAACUCUCAUAUGGAAUCUCUAUAAGGCUUCGGUCAAAAAAAAACAGAUCGUCCUGAGGAUGUAACGCGCCAUUUGGAAAAAUAAAUUUGUCGGCUUCUUAAACGGUUGUGAAGAUUAACCGAUAACAAAAAAAACAGUGUUCGGGGAGAUAACUCUUAUAUGGGAAAGUAUUGGGUUUCGCGGUGUCAGUUUCAAAAGCGCAUAAACUGUUCGAUAUCAUAUUCAUUAUAUCUAAGCGACAUCUUGCGAAACAAAAAAAAAGCGAAGGAAAAAAAUGUUGGCGGAAGAAAAAAAAUAAUAAUAAUUAAAAACCAAUUGUUCAGAGAACCAUUGAUGGUCUUUCCACUAGUAAUGAUUUUUUUUAUAUAAAAAUAUUAAAAUUUGCUUUUAAAUGUCAAUUUCAGCGUCAAAUGACAACUUAUUGUACGCUGAUCUAAAAAUAUAAGGUUUAUAUACAAAAAGAUAUAAAUAAGGGAGAUAAUUUUCUACUUCCGGUUCAAAAUAUGUUACUUCCGGUACUGUCUUAUAGAUUACUUGACGCUGAUUCCAAAAAUAUAUGGUUUUACAUACUUUUACAAUAAUUUAUACCAAAAAUUAGCUACUUCCGGUUUGCAAAAGGUCACUUCCGGUUAGCUUUUUCAACGUCAUAUUGCUUGCAACCUAAUGCAAAAAGUCUAAUAGCUUUAACAUGAAUAUAUAUGAGAUAAAAGCAAAGGUCAAAAUCUUGAAUAUUAAAUUAACAUAUGACCUUGAGCUCAAUUUCAAGGUCAUAAACUAAGGACCUCAAAUCAAAAGACUCUAGGUCUUUACUUUAUAUUGUUAAUGAGUUAUAUUACCAUACAACUGAUAUUAGAUAUAAAAGGGGGGAAAACUAACAUCAAAUGUUUACGUACCCUUUUGACUAAAAUUUAUGUGUAACUACAUGUCGCGACUAACAAUUGUGUGAAAAUAUUUUGUCGAUAUCUUAUAAGAUUUCUGAAAAUAAGCGAUAACAAGCCAAAAUCAAAAUUUUGAACAUGACCUUGACCUUUGACCUUGACCUCAUUUUCAUUUUUUUGAACCAAGGACCUUAAAUCAAAAGACCCUAGGCCUAUGUCACUUAUCGUUUACCAGUUAGAAAUGCAAAUCAGUUAUAUCAUAUACAAAAGGGGGAAUAACUCUCAUAUGGAGUCUCCGGAUAGCUUCGACUAAAAUUAUUCAUUUCAUCCUGAGGAUAUAACGAGCAAUUUGGUAAAAUAAAUUUGUCGGUUUCUUAUAUGGUUGCGACAUAUAAGUGAUAACAAGAAAAACAGUGUUCGGGGAGAUAACUCUUACAUGGAAAAGAUUUUUGUUACGCGGUGUCAGUUUCAAAAGCGUAUUAACUCUUCGAUAUCAUAUACAAAAUAUCUAAGUGACAUCUUGUGAAACAAAAAGUUAGCGAAGCAAAAAAAAUUAGGCGGAAGAAAAAAAAUAAUAAUUAAACUGUCAAUUGUUCUUGAACAAUUGAGAGGUCUUUCCUUUUGUAAUGUAAAAUACACGUUCCAACAGACGUAGAAUGUAUUGAAAAGGUCAAGGUCAACCUUAAAAAGCUCCAAAACACACUAAAAAUGCUUUAUAUAAGGUUAAAAACACUAAAUUCGCUAUCUGGGACAUGACCUUGACCUUUGACCUUUUGACCUUUGUCAAGGUCAUUACUCUCCAAUGCCAUUACUGAAGACCCCAAGGGUCUAGGACCUUUGGUUAUAUAGUAAAAGCUGAUUUUGUCUUUUCAGAAACCUAAAACAGGGGUUAUGCCCCUUAUAGAAAGGUCAAAUCUCUUUGGUCAAAAUGUAACAAAGUUGCGCCAUAAUGACUCAAAUAUUUUCCACUAUGUAAAACUUCUGUAAGUAUAAUGGUUUCUGAGAUUAUCCCAUAACAAGGUGUUAGGUCAAAGGUCAAGGUCAACAUACAAAUUUGACCUUGAGGUUUUUUUCAAAGAUACAUGAAUUGAUGAUGAUUGGUGAAGAUCCUAGGUCUCUACGACUUACGGUUUCUGAGUUUUGGUGGUCCACCGACACCGGUUAAUUUUCAUAGGGGCAUAACUCUACCAAUGAGUCGUUGAAUCUUUUCGAUCCAAAUGUAACGAAGAACCGACCUCUGGUCCUGAACAAAUUUCAGCCUUUGUUUUUUUUCUACCUAUUAUGGUUACGGUGUUGGAACGAUAACAAGGUUUUUUGGUUUCGGAGGGAUUACUCCGAACCGACAAAAUAUUUCGACUAAUAGGGUGAGUUCUGGAUAGAUAUUCAUGACACCGAUACAAAGUGUGAACAAGAAAGCGACACGUCUUACGGUUACGGAGGCUUAAUGCGUCAAAGUUUGGCGGAAGAAUAAUAAUAAUAAUUAAAAAAUGGAAGGUCUUUCCAUCAAAACAAUGUAUUUUGAUAUGAAAAGUUGUGAAACUAAGUUUAAAAUGUCAUUUCAAUCGUCAAAUGAUAGCUCCUAGUUAAGCUGAUUCCAAAAAAUAUAUGUUUCCAUACAUUUUUUUAAAUAAGGGAGAUAAUUUUUACUUCCGGUUUGAAAAAUGUUACUUCCGAUUAUAUUUGAAUAUUUACUUGACACUGAUUCCAAAAAUAUCUGGUUCUAUAGACUUUUAUAUUAAUAAAGUACAAAAAAUAGCUACUUCCGGUUUACAAAAAGUCACUUCCGGUUGGUUUUUUUCAAGGUUAAAUGGUUUGAGACCUUUUUCUAAAAGUUGUAUAUCUUUAUCAUGUAUACAUAUAGAAUAAAAGCAAAGGUCAAAAUCUAGAACGUCAAAUUAAGCUAUGACCUUGAGAUCAAUUUCAAGGUCAUAAACAAGGACCUCAAAUCAAAAGACCAUAGGUCUUAAUUAUAUUUAGUUAAUGAGUUAUAUCACCAAACGCGUAUUUUUAAAUACAAGAGGGGAGAAAACUCCCUUUUACAUUCAACGUACGCUUGCAAUCAAAAUUUACAUCUUACGACAUGUCGCAACUAACAAUUUAGUAAAAAUAAUUUGUUGAUAUCUUAUACAGUCUUUGGAUAUAAGUGAAAAUAAGCCAAAUUCAAAUAUUAGAAUAUGACCUUGACCUUUGACCUUGACCUAAUUUUCAUUUUUUGGGACCAAGGACCUCAAAUCAAAAGAUCCUAGGUCUCUAUCACUUAUGAUUUAUAAGAUAGAAAUUCAUAUCACUUAUAUCAGAUGCAUAAGGGGAAAUAACUCUCAUAUGGAGCGGUCAUAUCGCUUCGGUCAAAAUAGGACAAAUCAUGCGAAGAUAUAACGAGCAAUUUUGUAAAAUAAAUUUGUCAUAAUCUUUUACGGUUGCGAAGAGAUGUGAUAACAAGGAAAACAGUGUUUGGGGAGAUAACUCCUACAAAGAAAAGUAUUCGUUUAUGCAGGGUAAAUUUCAAAAGCGCAUAAACUGUUCGAUAUCAUAUACAAAAUAUCUAAGCGACAUAUUGCGAAACAAAUGUUUAUCGCAAGAACAAAAUUAGGCGGAAGAAAAAAAAAAAAAUAGUCAGAAGAAAAACAAUAGGUCUUUCCACAGAAAAGUGGAAAGACCUAAUAAUAAUAAACAGAAGAAAUACAGUAAGGUCUUUCCCUUUUGUAAAAGGAAAGACCUUAAUAAUCAGAAGAAAACCAAUAGGUCUUUCCACGGAAAAGUGGAAAGACCUAAUAAUAAUAAUAAUCAGAAGAAAUCCAAUAGGUCUUUCCACGGAAAAGUGGAAAGACCUAAUAAUAAUAAUAAUCAGAAGAAAUCCAAUAGGUCUUUCCACGGAAAGGUGGAAAGACCUAAUAAUCAGAACAAAUACAAUAGGUCUUUCAACUGAAAGGUUGAAAGACCUAAUAAUCAGAAGAAAUCCAAUAGGUCUUUCCACGGAAAAGUGGAAAGACCUAAUAAUUAAAAACCAAUUGUUCAAAGAACAAUUGAAGGUCUUUCAACCAAUAAGGAUCUAUUUUGAUAUGAAAAUAUUAAGAUUCAGUUGAAAAUGUCAGUUGCUAUGGCUUUAUGAUAUGAAAAUAUGAAUUUCGAGCAAAGGUCAAAAUCUAGAACGUCCAAUUAACCUAUGACCUUGACCCCAAUUUCAAGGUCAUAAACCAAGGAUCCCAAAUCAAAAGACCCUAGGUCAGUAGUAUGUAUGGUUCAUGAGUAAUAUCACUUUAUGCAUAAUUCUAAAUAUAAGAGGGGCAAAAACUCCCGUUUAUUGUCUACGCACCCUAUCAAUCAAAAAUUCUAAGUUACGACAUGUCGCAACUAACAAUUUAGUAAAAAGAAUUUGUCGAAAUCUUAUAAAGUUAACGAGAAUAAGUGAAAAUAAGCCAAAAUCAAAAUUUAGAAUUUGACCUUGACCUAAUUUUCAUUUUUUGGACCAAGGAUCUUAAAUCAAAAGACCCUAGGUCUCUAUCACUUAUAGUUUACCAGUUAGAAAUGCAUAUCACUGAUAUCAUAUAUAAAAGGGGGAAUAACUCUCAUAUGGAGUCUUCGGAUAGCUUCGGUUGAAAUGAAACAGAACAUCCUAAGGAUAUAACGAGCAAUUUGGAAAAAUAAAUUUGUUGGUUUCUUAUACGGUUGCAAAUAUUAAACGAUAACAAGAAAAACAGUGUUCGGGGAGAUAACUCUUACAUUGAAAAGAUUUUGGUUACUCAAUGUGAGUCACAAAAGCGUAAUAACUGUUCGAUAUCAUAUACCAUAUGUCUAAGCGACAUCUUGCGAAACAAAAAAACUGCGAAGGAAAAAAAAGUUGGCGGA
rnacentral:lncRNA from 1 species